rnacentral:rRNA from 1 species
AUGUACGACGCUGAUAAGAUGCGACCUUGCGUAACGGCUUUGUCCAUUUGGAUGCGGCCGUCUUCGAUGAUAGAACCAAUAAGACGCGUCGCCUCCGUCAAUGGUACAACUCCUAUAUAUGAUAAAAGAAAAAAAGAACUCGUCUCUCUCUUUUUAGCACUUUGUUGCAUACAUUUUCGACAAUGGCUUAUACACAUUGUAGCUUUGAGCACUUUAUUCCAUAUGUUGUCCCCUAGACAUUUGAACAUAUAUGAAUCUAGUUGUGAAAUGCAAUGCAAUUAUGAGAUGGAUGUGCUUAUACAUUAUGAAAAUAUUAUGAAUGUGUAUUUGGUAUGCUGCUGA